rnacentral:rRNA from 1 species
UACGGAGGGGGCUAGCGUUGUUCGGAAUUACUGGGCGUAAAGCGCACGUAGGCGGCUUUGUAAGUUGGAGGUGAAAGCCCGGGGCUCAACUCCGGAAUUGCCUUUAAGACUGCAUCGCUAGAAUUGUGGAGAGGUAAGUGGAAUUCCGAGUGUAGAGGUGAAAUUCGUAGAUAUUCGGAAGAACACCAGUGGCGAAGGCGACUUACUGGACACAUAUUGACGCUGAGGUGCGAAAGCGUGGGGAGCAAACAGGG